rnacentral:rRNA from 1 species
ACCAAGGCGACGACGGGUAGCCGGCCUGAGAGGGUGACCGGCCACACUGGGACUGAGACACGGCCCAGACUCCUACGGGAGGCAGCAGUGGGGAAUAUUGCACAAUGGGCGCAAGCCUGAUGCAGCGACGCCGCGUGAGGGAUGACGGCCUUCGGGUUGUAAACCUCUUUCAGUAGGGAAGAAGCCGCAAGGUGACGGUACCUGCAGAAGAAGCGCCGGCUAACUACGUGCCAGCAGCCGCGGUAAUACGUAGGGCGCAAGCGUUAUCCGGAAUUAUUGGGCGUAAAGAGCUCGUAGGCGGUUUGUCGCGUCUGCCGUGAAAGUCCGGGGCUCAACUCCGGAUCUGCGGUGGGUACGGGCAGACUAGAGUGAUGUAGGGGAGACUGGAAUUCCUGGUGUAGCGGUGAAAUGCGCAGAUAUCAGGAGGAACACCGAUGGCGAAGGCAGGUCUCUGGGCAUUAACUGACGCUGAGGAGCGAAAGCAUGGGGAGCGAACAGGAUUAGAUACCCUGGUAGUCCAUGCCGUAAACGUUGGGCACUAGGUGUGGGGGACAUUCCACGUUUUCCGCGCCGUAGCUAACGCAUUAAGUGCCCCGCCUGGGGAGUACGGCCGCAAGGCUAAAACUCAAAGGAAUUGACGGGGGCCCGCACAAGCGGCGGAGCAUGCGGAUUAAUUCGAUGCAACGCGAAGAACCUUACCAAGGCUUGACAUGAACCAGACCGGGCUGGAAACAGUUCUUCCCCUUUGGGGUUGGUUUACAGGUGGUGCAUGGUUGUCGUCAGCUCGUGUCGUGAGAUGUUGGGUUAAGUCCCGCAACGAGCGCAACCCUCGUUCCAUGUUGCCAGCGGGUAGUGCCGGGGACUCAUGGGAGACUGCCGGGGUCAACUCGGAGGAAGGUGGGGACGACGUCAAAUCAUCAUGCCCCUUAUGUCUUGGGCUUCACGCAUGCUACAAUGGCCGGUACAAAGGGUUGCGAUACUGUGAGGUGGAGCUAAUCCCAAAAAGCCCGGUCUCAGUUCGGAUUGGGGUCUGCAACUCGACCCCAUGAAGUCGGAGUCGCUAGUAAUCGCAG